rnacentral:rRNA from 1 species
UNUGGGCUGUAACUGACGCUGAGAAGCGAAAGCAUGGGGAGCGAACAGGAUUAGAUACCCUGGUAGUCCAUGCCGUAAACGUUGGGCACUAGGUGUGGGGGACAUUCCACGUUUUCCGCGCCGUGGCUAACGCAUUAAGUGCCCCGCCUGGGGAGUACGGCCGCAAGGCUAAAACUCAAAGAAAUUGACGGGGGCCCGCACAAGCGGCGGAGCAUGCGGAUUAAUUCGAUGCAACGCGAAGAACCUUACCAAGGCUUGACAUAUACUGGACUGCGUCAGAGAUGGCGUUUCCCUUCGGGGCUGGUAUACAGGUGGUGCAUGGUUGUCGUCAGCUCGUGUCGUGAGAUGUUGGGUUAAGUCCCGCAACGAGCGCAACCCUCGUUCUAUGUUGCCAGCACGUGAUGGUGGGGACUCAUAGGAGACUGCCGGGGUCAACUCGGAGGAAGGUGGGGAUGACGUCAAAUCAUCAUGCCCCUUAUGUCUUGGGCUUCACGCAUGCUACAAUGGCCGGUACAGAGGGUUGCGAUACUGUGAGGUGGAGCUAAUCCCUAAAAGCCGGUCUCAGUUCGGAUUGGGGUCUGCAACUCGACCCCAUGAAGUCGGGGUCGCUAGUAAUCGCAGAUCAGCAACGCUGCGGUGAAUACGUUCCCGGGCCUUGUACACACCGCCCGUCAAGUCACGAA